GAGAGAGAGAGAGAGAGUACGUCUUCUGUACUUUCGAAAGUACGGAGAUUUCUGUGCUUGUAAGUUAUUUUCGAUGAUAGGACAUCCGAUUCGACGAUCGGCUCCGUUAAGUAUAAUCUACCUUAUUAGAACUAUCUAGAAACCAAAUUUUAUAAUUUUUUGACAUCAUUUAUCAAGCAAUCAAAAUGUCUCAAAAAUGAAUAUUUUAACGGCUGAUGUGGUAUGUUUUUAAGUUCAACGGUGUAGAAGUAUCCAAAUUACAUAAAAAUUUAAUAGAAAAUUCUAUUUAAUAUCAAUAGUAAGAUCAAUACUUCCGAUUUGAAAUUUGAGUCCUUUAUCACUGUUUUUUAUGAGAUUUUUAUUUUCGGCCGUUUAUUUUGAGGCUACUCGUUCACUAGACAAACAAAGUCAAAAAAUUAUGAAAUUUGGUUUCUAGAUAGUUCCAAUAGUGUAGAUCAAGCUUAACGGAACCGAUCGCCAAAUCGGAUGUCCCAUUAUCGAAAACAAUUUACAAGCACGGAGGCCUCCGUACUUUCGAAAGCAUAGGAGCCUAGCUCUAUAAAGAGAGAGAGAGAGAGAGAGUAGAGCUAAAAUAUUAUUGAUAACAUGGAAAUAAUAUUUACUAUCAACUUUUUGACCAUUGGAUGCUCUUAGAGUUUAAUGAAAGUUGAUGAAAUAAUAAUAAUCGAAGGGUGAAAAAACAGAUAGUAAAUACUAUUCAUAUGGUGUCGCCCCAAUUUCUCAGGAGGUCAUCCAUUCCAGGACUAUGCCGUCCUAGUACGCUUAACUCUCUUAACCUCUUAAGCCUAGCGACCGUCCAAAAUGCUUAAACGGAUUAAGAGUUUUAGCUCUAUUAUAUCUUAUAUAUAGAACUAUCUGGUGUCUCAUAUUCUUUGCCUCUUUAAACUCUGACGUUCUCGUCAGGCUCAGACUCAUAAGUAUCAGGCGAUGUGAGACUUGUCUCGCUAGUAUAAACCGACUUUGUGGUGAGCCACGCUCCACCCACAAUAGUCAACAAUAUGAGAGUCUCGCUUUCCCUGCUGUAUAAUACUGACUCAGCCAAGACUCAUCUCACACUUCCGGCUGGUAAUUGGUUUUGAUACCAACUGUGAAGCCCCAACUCUCCAGGGGUCAUCCAUCCUAAAACUACUCUCGUUCUAACACGCUUAACUCUCUUAAACUUUGGGUCUAAUCACCGCCCAAAAUGCUUAAGCCGGUUAAGAGUUUUAACCUUAUUAUAUCUUAUACAUAGAAUUCUCUGGGGUCUUAUACAUAUGCAAUCAAUAGUAUACGAGUUUGAUAAACCAUAUAUAUAUAUAGUAGGGCUGUUGUGCUCUCAGGAGCACGGAGGCCUCCGUGCUCCUGAGCCAUUUUCGAUGAUGGAAUUUUCGAAUCGACGAUCGGCUCCGUUAGACUUGAUCUAGGGUAUUUGAAGUUUCUAGAAAAUAAUUUUUGCGAUUUUUUGAUAUCAUUUAUCUAGUGAUCGAAAGGAUUCAAAAUCAAUAAUUUUUAAUGGUUGAUAUCUGUCGUUUUCAAGUUUAACGGUGUAGAAAUAUUCAAAUCAGAUGAAAUUUUGAUACAAAAUUUUUUAUACAAUCUACAACAAGAUCAACAUUUCUAAUCGAAAAUUUAGUGCUAUAUCACCACUUUUUAUCGGAUUUUUAUUUUCAGCCGUUAAAAAUUAUUGAUUUUGAAUCCUUUCGAUUGCUAGGUAAAUAAUAUCAAAAAAUCGCAAAAAUUAUUUUUUAGAAACUUCAAAUACGCUAGAUCAAGUCUAAUAGAUUCGAUCGUCGAUUCGAAAAUUCCAUCAUCGAAAACGGCUCCGUGCUCCUGAGAGCACAGCAGCCCUACUAUAUAUAUAUAUAUAUAUAUAU
rnacentral:lncRNA from 1 species